UACGUAGGGGGCAAGCGUUGUCCGGAUUUAUUGGGCGUAAAGCGCUUGUAGGCGGUCUGUUAAGUCCUGUAUGAAAACCCUUGGCUUAACCAAGGAAGUGCGCAGGAAACUGGCGGACUUGAGUGCCAAAAAAAAUCGCGGAAUUCCCGGUGUAGAGGUGAAAUUCGUAGAUAUCAAGAGAAACACCAAUGGCGAAAACGGCAACCUGGACAAACACUGACGCUGAGACGCGAAAGCGUGGGGAGCAAACAGG
rnacentral:rRNA from 1 species